GAUGAACGCUGGCGGCGUGCCUAAUACAUGCAAGUCGAGCGAACAGACGAGGAGCUUGCUCCUCUGACGUUAGCGGCGGACGGGUGAGUAACACGUGGAUAACCUACCUAUAAGACUGGGAUAACUUCGGGAAACCGGAGCUAAUACCGGAUAAUAUAGUGAACCGCAUGGUUCAAUAGUGAAAGACGGUUUUGCUGUCACUUAUAGAUGGAUCCGCGCCGCAUUAGCUAGUUGGUAAGGUAACGGCUUACCAAGGCAACGAUGCGUAGCCGACCUGAGAGGGUGAUCGGCCACACUGGAACUGAGACACGGUCCAGACUCCUACGGGAGGCAGCAGUAGGGAAUCUUCCGCAAAGGGCGAAAGCCUGACGGAGCAACGCCGCGUGAGUGAUGAAGGUCUUCGGAUCGUAAAACUCUGUUAUUAGGGAAGAACAAAUGUGUAAGUAACUAUGCACGUCUUGACGGUACCUAAUCAGAAAGCCACGGCUAACUACGUG
rnacentral:rRNA from 1 species